AGCAGUUCCGCGUGCUGAAGGAGGGCGACCGCUUCUGGUUUGAGAACCAGGGCUUGCCCAGCUCCUUCACGCCGGAACAAAUUGACGCAAUUCAUCAGGUGAAGCUGAGUAACAUCAUCUGCGACAACUCGGACGGCAUCGAGAAGCUGCAGGUGUACCUGAUGGUGCUCCCCGACCCCAAGAUUAACCCGGUGGUCUCGUGCGCCACCCUGCCGCGGCUGGACCUCUCGCUCUGG